rnacentral:rRNA from 1 species
AUUGAACGCUGGCGGCAGGCUUAACACAUGCAAGUCGAGCGGAGCGAGGGUGCUUGCACCUUAGCUUAGCGGCGGACGGGUGAGUAAUGCUUAGGAAUCUGCCUAUUAGUGGGGGACAACAUUCCGAAAGGAAUGCUAAUACCGCAUACGCCCUACGGGGGAAAGCAGGGGAUCUUCGGACCUUGCGCUAAUAGAUGAGCCUAAGUCGGAUUAGCUAGUUGGUGGGGUAAAGGCCUACCAAGGCGACGAUCUGUAGCGGGUCUGAGAGGAUGAGCCGCCACACUGGGACUGAGACACGGCCCAGACUCCUACGGGAGGAAGCAGUGGGGAAUAUUGGACAAUGGGCGGAAGCCUGAUCCAGCCAUGCCGCGUGUGUGAAGAAGGCCUUUUGGUUGUAAAGCACUUUAAGCGAGGAGGAGGCUCUUAAGGUUAAUACCCUUGAUGAGUGGACGUUACUCGCAGAAUAAGCACCGGCUAACUCUGUGCCAGCCGCCGCGGUAAUAC